AUUGUCUCAAAAUUAAGUACAUAGAUUUACAUUCCUACUGUCACCAGCCAGCCACAUCUCAUAGAGGCCACUAGACUGGACAGGUGAAGUACAGACCAACUUUACUGUCACACUUAAGCGUGAUCACAAUUGGAGGCCAAGGUUCGAAUGUGAGGUAGCUGCACCCAUGGAAACCUUCCCUAGGAGAGAAGACUCAGUGCAGAAGAGAGCACGGGAUGGCUUGAACCUCACUCUGACUGACCAGGGCUCCACUUGUUGGAGUGGCUCCAUCCUCCCCCCAACCCCGUACUUGGGAUGGAACUCAGGGUGUCAUUCAUUCUAGUUUUAGGGAAUCUGACACUUCUGAAAACAGAUGGGUCCAUCACAAUCAGGCAUGACUGGAGCAAGGUCCCUACCAUUCGCUCCUGAACUAUUUGCUACUGACAGAUUCAGGAACAGAGGGAACACAGUGCCUCCGGCUCACACAGAUGCUCCUGCUUAAACUAAAUGAAUCACAAAAUACCCGUAAGUUGUGGAUCUGAGGAGACUGUUACAGGGAGGUUCGAUGCCCUCUUCUGGCCUUUGAGGUCACCAGGCACAAAAAUAGUGCACAGACAGGUAAGUAAACCCUCAUACAUAUAGAGUGAAAUUGUUUUAAAUAGAAUUAAAAAGAACCCCAAAAAUAGUUUAUAAAAACCCCUGUUCUACCAGAAAGCAUAGGCAGCUUGGGCUGGUCCUUUGGGGACUAAGGAGCCUCAUUACCUUCAUGGAGGGACCACCGACAUCCAGACUAGAGACUCGAGAGCAGGUGGUGGCAUAUGUGAUUUUUUGCAUAUUACUUAGGACGUUAUGAAUAUCUUGAAGGGCAUGCAUGUUUUUUAAAAAAAAAACCUUUGCAUUACAAUGCUUAAAAAAGAGAGCUGAGGUACUUCCCUGGGUUUGAUGCCCAACAUUGCACACAAGAGGAGGAGUGUACAGAGGGUGAUGUCCUUGCCCAUGCGGGACGUGUUUUAUAUUAAUUAUUUAACACAGCUCUAGGUUUGGGAGCGCAACGAGAUUCUUUCGUGAGACAAUAAUACAACCUACUGUUUCUGCAGUUGCGUGGCCACCCAUAGAUCCCACCUACCCUGCCUAUACUGAUCUGGUGGAGGACCUAUGGCCCGCGAGCUAGAGAAGUGGUUCUCAACCUUCCUAGUGCUGAGACCCUUUAACACAGUUCCUCGUGUUGUGGGGAAACCCCCUCCUGCAACCAU
ensembl:lncRNA